GUUAAGAAACCAGAUAACGUAUGGGUCGAUUAGAAUUUCUCUUCUUAACG
rnacentral:tRNA from 1 species